rnacentral:tRNA from 1 species
CGUUAAGAAGCUAAAUAGGGAGACAGCGUUAGCCUUUUAAGCUAAAAAUUGGUGAUUCCCACCCACCCUUAACGC